rnacentral:rRNA from 1 species
AGUGAACGCUGGCGGUAGGCCUAACACAUGCAAGUCGAACGGCAGCACAGUAAGAGCUUGCUCUUACGGGUGGCGAGUGGCGGACGGGUGAGGAAUACAUCGGAUUCUACUUUUUCGUGGGGGGUAACGUAGGGAAACUUACGCUAAUACCGCAUACGACCUACGGGUGAAAGCAGGGGAUCUUCGGGCCUUGCGCGAUUGAAUGAGCCGAUGUCGGAUUAGCUAGUUGGCGGGGUAAAGGCCCACCAAGGCGACGAUCCGUAGCUGGUCUGAGAGGAUGAUCAGCCACACUGGAACUGAGACACGGUCCAGACUCCUACGGGAGGCAGCAGUGGGGAAUAUUGGACAAUGGGCGCAAGCCUGAUCCAGCCAUACCGCGUGGGUGAAGAAGGCCUUCGGGUUGUAAAGCCCUUUUGUUGGGAAAGAAAAGCAGCAGGUUAAUACCCCGCUGUUCUGACGGUACCCAAAGAAUAAGCACCGGCUAACUUCGUG